rnacentral:rRNA from 1 species
AAAUUGAAGAGUUUGAUCAUGGCUCAGAUUGAACGCUGGCGGCAGGCCUAACACAUGCAAGUCGAACGGUAACAGGAAGAAGCUUGCUUCUUUGCUGACGAGUGGCGGACGGGUGAGUAAUGUCUGGGAAACUGCCUGAUGGAGGGGGAUAACUACUGGAAACGGUAGCUAAUACCGCAUAACGUCGCAAGACCAAAGAGGGGGACCUUCGGGCCUCUUGCCAUCGGAUGUGCCCAGAUGGGAUUAGCUAGUAGGUGGGGUAACGGCUCACCUAGGCGACGAUCCCUAGCUGGUCUGAGAGGAUGACCAGCCACACUGGAACUGAGACACGGUCCAGACUCCUACGGGAGGCAGCAGUGGGGAAUAUUGCACAAUGGGCGCAAGCCUGAUGCAGCCAUGCCGCGUGUAUGAAGAAGGCCUUCGGGUUGUAAA